GCUUGGGUGGCGGAAUAGGUAGACGCACAGGACUUAAAAUCCUGUGUCCUUCGGGGCGUGCGGGUUCGAUUCCCGCCCUAAGCA
rnacentral:tRNA from 1 species